CGCAGCAGGACUCCGGGGUCAGCAGCCUCUAGCGCGGGAGCGAACGCGGCUCAGGGAAGUCGGCAAGCCGGCUCCGUAACCUCGGGAAAAGGAGUGGCUCUGACGGCGCGCCGGGUCAGAACUGGAACGGACGCGGGGAUCCCGACUGUUUACUAGAAACACAGCGUCGCGAGGGCCGCACCCGGCGCUGGCGCGACGUGAUUUCUGCCCAGUGCCACGACCGUCACCGUGAAGCGAUCCGCCGAAGCCCUGGUAAACGGCGGGAGUAACUAUGACUCUCUUAAGGUAGCCAAAUGCCUCGUCGGGCAAUUUCCGACGUGCAUGAAUGGACCAACGAGGAUCCCACUGUCCCGAGCCGCGCCUCCGCGAGCCUCCAGCCUCGGGAACGGGCGAGGGCCGGCCAGCGGGGCAAGAAGACCCUUUUGAGCUUGACU
rnacentral:rRNA from 2 species